UACAGAGGUGGCAAGCGUUGUUCGGAAUUACUGGGCGUAAAGGGCACGUAGGCGGCCUGUCAAGUCUGGGGUGAAAUCCCGCGACUCAACCGCGGAACUGCCUCAGAUACUGACGGUCUCGAGGGGGGUAGGGGCGAGCGGAACUGAUGGUGGAGCGGUGAAAUGCGUUGAUAUCAUCAGGAACUCCGGUGGCGAAGGCGGCUCGCUGGACCUCUUCUGACGCUGAGGCGCGAAAGCUAGGGGAGCAAACGGG
rnacentral:rRNA from 1 species